UAGUAACGGCGAGUGAAGCGGCAUCAGCUCAAAUUUGAAAUCUGGCUCUUUCAGAGUCCGAGUUGUAAUUUGCAGAGGGCGCUUUGGCGUUGGCAGCGGUCCAAGUUCCUUGGAACAGGACGUCACAGAGGGUGAGAAUCCCGUACGUGGUCGCUAACCUUCGCCGUGUAAAGCCCCUUCGACGAGUCGAGUUGUUUGGGAAUGCAGCUCUAAAUGGGAGGUAAAUUUCUUCUAAAGCUAAAUACUGGCCAGAGACCGAUAGCGCACAAGUAGAGUGAUCGAAAGAUGAAAAGCACUUUGGAAAGAGAGUCAAAUAGCACGUGAAAUUGUUGAAAGGGAAGCGCUUGCAGCCAGACUUGCCUGUAGUUGCUCAUCCGGGCUCUUGCCCGGUGCACUCUUCUGCGGGCAGGCCAGCAUCAGUCUAGGCGGUUGGAUAAAGGCCUCUGUCACGUACCUCCUUUCGGGGAGGCCUUAUAGGGGAGGCGUAAUGCAACCAGCCUGGACUGAGGUCCGCGCAUCUGCUAGGAUGCUGGCGUAAUGGCUGUAAGCGGCCCGUCUUGAAACACGGACCAAGGAGUCUAACAUCUAUGCGAGUGUUUGGGUGUCAAGCCCGAGCGCGUAAUGAAAGUGAACGGAGGUGGGAUCCCUUUUAGGGUGCACCAUCGACCGAUCCUGAUGUCUUCGGAUGGAUUUGAGUAAGAGCAUGGCUGUUGGGACCCGAAAGAUGGUGAACUAUGCUUGAAUAGGGUGAAGCCAGAGGAAACUCUGGUGGAGGCUCGCAGCGGUUCUGACGUGCAAAUCGAUCGUCAAAUUUGGGCA
rnacentral:rRNA from 1 species